rnacentral:rRNA from 1 species
UACGUAGGGUGCGAGCGUUGUCCGGAAUUAUUGGGCGUAAAGGGCGCGUAGGCGGCUGUACAAGUCAAAGGUGAAAUCCCUCGGCUCAACUGAGGAACUGCCUUUGAAACUGUACGGCUUGAGGCCGGGAGGGGGUAGCGGAAUUCCCAGUGUAGCGGUGAAAUGCGUAGAUAUUGGGAGGAACACCAGUGGCGAAGGCGGCUACCUGGACCGGUUCUGGCGCUGAUGCGCGAAAGCGUGGGUAGCAAACAGG